CAGUAGCCGCGGUAAUACGGAGGAUCUAAGCGUUAUCCGGAAUCAUUGGGUUUAAAGGGUCCGUAGGCGGUCUUGUAAGUCAGUGGUGAAAGCCCAUCGCUCAACGGUGGAACGGCCAUUGAUACUGCAGGACUUGAAUUAUUGGGAAGUAACUAGAAUAUGUAGUGUAGCGGUGAAAUGCUUAGAGAUUACAUGGAAUACCAAUUGCGAAGGCAGGUUACUACCAAUUGAUUGACGCUGAUGGACGAAAGCGUGGGUAGCGAACAGGAUUAGAUACCCCCGUAGUCCCUGUCUCUUAUAC
rnacentral:rRNA from 1 species